GUAGGUGGCAAGCGUUGUCCGGAAUUAUUGGGGCGUAAAGCGCGCGCAGGUGGUUCUUUAAGUCUGAUGUGAAAGCCCCCCGGGCUCAACCGGGGGAGGGUCAUUGGAAACUGGGGAACUUGAGUGCAGGAGAGGAAAGUGGAAUUCCACGUGUAGCGGUGAAAUGCGUAGAUAUGUGGAGGAACACCAGUGGCGAAGGCGACUUUCUGGCCUGUAACUGACACUGAGGCGCGAAAGCGUGGGGAGCAAACAGGAUUAGAUACCCUGGUAGUCCACGCCGUAAACGAUGAGUGCUAAGUGUUGGGGGGUUUCCGCCCCUCAGUGCUGCAGCUAACGCAUCAAGCACUCCGCCUGGGGAGUACGGUCGCAAAGACUG
rnacentral:rRNA from 1 species